rnacentral:rRNA from 1 species
AUCAGCAAUGACCUCGCGCGGUUGGAUGGACCGAUGUUGGAUUAGCUAGUUGGUGAGGUAAUGGCUCACCAAGGCGACGAUCGAUAGCUGGUCUGAGAGGAUGAUCAGCCACACUGGGACUGAGACACGGCCCAGACUCCUACGGGAGGCAGCAGUGGGGAAUAUUGGACAAUGGGCGCAAGCCUGAUCCAGCAAUGCCGCGUGUGUGAAGAAGGCCUUCGGGUUGUAAAGCUCUUUUAUCAGGAACGAAAUACCAUGGGAUAAUCCCCGGGGGCGUUGACGGUACCUGAGGAAUAAGCCCCGGCUAACUUCGUGCCAGCAGCCGCGGUAAUACGAAGGGGGCAAGCGUUAUUCGGAAUUACUGGGCGUAAAGCGUGCGCAGGCGGUUUUUUAAGUCUGAUGUGAAAUCCCCGGGCUCAACCUGGGAAUGGCAGUGGAUACUGGAAAGCUAGAGUGUGAUAGAGGAGGGUGGAAUUCCCGGGGUAGCGGGGAAAAGCGUAGAGAU